UGCCUCGUAGCUCAAUGGCAGAGCGGCGCGCUGUUAACGCGAGGGUUGCAGGUUCGAUACCUGUCGAGGCAG
rnacentral:tRNA from 1 species